UACGUAGGGGGCGAGCGUUAAUCGGAAUUACUGGGCGUAAAGCGUGCGCAGGCGGCUAUGUAAGAUAGAGGUGAAAACCCCGGGCUCAACCUGGGAACUGCCUUUGUGACUGCAUGACUAGAGGACGGCAGAGGGGGAUGGAAUUCCGCGUGUAGCAGUGAAAUGCGUAGAUAUGGGGAGGAACACCGAUGGCGAAGGCAAUCCCCUGGGCCUGUACUGACGCUCAUGCACGAAAGCGUGGGGAGCAAACAGG
rnacentral:rRNA from 1 species